UGGGCAGCAAACUGGCUACUCACGCAUGCAUGACUCUACUUGGCAUGCGCGCUGCCCCUACAAACUCUGUGCUGGGGCGCCUCCCUUCCAGGCUGUGACUGACAGCAGCGGAGCGCUGAACCACUACGCGUCUCUGGGCUUCACUCCGGGAUUUCCUUUCACCUACUUGGCCAGACCAGGAAGCAAACUUUUGAGCGGAACUCUCUCCCAUUGCCAUGGGUAAGUGCAAGAUCCUCCCUGCUAGGGGAUACACAGCAGAGGGCAAAGGAGACUGUUUUGGUUUUUUCAUAGGAUUGUGGGGAGUUGAAAGAUAACCCGAGGGUCAUCUAAGUCCAACCCCUCUGCGAUGCAGGGAUCACAACUACAGCAUCCAUGGCAGAUGGGCAUUCAGCUUCUGCUUUGAAAUCACCCAAAGAAGAGUUUCUUGACGGGAAAUUAUCAAAACGGCCAUGUUGUCUGGGAGUAAUUCCCUUUUUCAUGAUUUCCCAAACAAGGAUAAUGCAAACGUUUACUGCUCAAUACAAAAGUUGUUUGUAUGAUUGAAAGCUCCGUUACUGUGUUUUUCUUUUAAGACAAAAUAUGUUAGUGGGUUUUGGGUUGCAGUUUGGGCACUUGAUCUCUAAACGGUUCACCACCACUAGCUCAGCUAGUCCAUUUGGUCCAGACUUCUCUACUGUCGCUAUCUACAGAUUUAGAGAGACAAGAAGGGCUCUCCUUUUAUUUCCAUGGCUGUGUAAUUCAAAGCCAGAACCUGGAGUGAGAUCUGAUAAGGAAUAGCCAGAGGCAAUGGCCUCCUGACAGCAGCACUGUUGCCACUUACUGGAGUGGUGUUGGGACAGGGCUGCAGCCACCCUCAGUUUGCCGCCACCCUGACCAAUUCUGCCCCAGUACAUGGCAGUGAUGCCACGGUCAGGGAGCUCAUGAUGCAUUGCCGCCCCAUCCUACCAACCAGUCCUACCACUAACCUAGAAUCACCCCGACCAGAACAUAUUCUAUAAACUUAAAAAAGCAAUGCAUAUAUUUAUUUAUGGAAAACAGCAAUCAAAACAUGGAGUCAUUUGGUAAAUAAAGGAAUACAAAUAAAGGUGUUGAUCUCCUCACCAAAUAUACUUGGCUCUCCACUAACAGCAGGCUAACUCCCAGCCUUUUACCUAUGCCUCCACUCUUUCUAAUCUCACUCAAUCUUCAGUCUUUCUCCAUAGCCACUCUUCCUAAAUGUCAACCUGUCAUUCCAUCUGACUCUAUCCACCAUUCCAGUGCACUCUGUCACUAAUUCUUCCACUUGUUGUUCUGUUACACACCUUCUAAAGCUAUUGCAACAUUUUGUGUUGCUCUAUAAAUUAAUUAUGCAUUGUGCGAAGAGGUACUUUCGCCCUCUAACACCUGUAAUGUGACUACUGUAUGAAAAGCAUGCAUUUGUAGUCUGGGGCAUGGCUUUUGCGUACAUGAUGUGGCCACCUCACUAAAGCUGAGCAGGUGAGGGUCUGGUUAGUCCCCAUGUACCUCAUCCUGAGCUCAAGUGUUACCAGCUAAAGGGCAGGUAUGAAAUUGAAUAAACAAACACAUAAUGCAGGCAGAAUAAAUGCUCAUAGCAAAUCUUUCAAUCUAUCAAUUAUAUUGACUUCAGUAAGAAUCAGUAAAUGAGCACCCAUACUAUGAUUCUGAAGUUGGGAGAAAGUUGAAAAGCAGCUUUGUGAUAUAAGGUUCAUUGGUCUGGAAAAUUCUACUUUUCACUGGGCAGACCCCAAGCCUAAAAAAGACUAUUUAGAACCUGGCCCAAGCUACUUAAGUACAUGGCAUAAUUAAAAGGAGUUAGCAAGCAAAUGGAGAAAACAAGCAAUUUCAAAGGCCGAGACUAUGAUUGAAGGCAUUUUGCAUCCUUGCAUAUAUUUUUGUAUAUUUAGUUAAUGAUUUUAAUGUUAACUGAACAGUAAUCCUACAGUGAUUUUUGCUGAGCCCAAAAUACUAAACUAUUUAUACUUGGGAUUUACGCCUUGGUAUUAGCAUGAUUAACACUAUUUAUUCUUGUAUAUUUAAAAUGACAAUAGUAUUUUCUUUUAACAUUAUUAACUUGCAUCUUCAUGAUUGCUGCACUGGAGGCUUGAAGUCAUGGACUAAAACUGUCAUAAAAAUAAAGCUGCAGCUCAACAAGACUGUCAUUCAUGCCUUUCCUUAAUUUGUAGGAACUCUCAUAAUCUUACUGACCCAUCCCCCAGUAAUGACAGUAUUAACUGCAGUAGCUUGGCGGGGAAUACUUAAGAAAGAAAAACUAAGCAUGCCAAGAACAGGAGAAAGAAGAGCAAUUAAUGUCAAGAUGACUGGGGCACGUUUUUUCUAGAUCAAUAUAAAUGAAAAAUUGAGGAAUUUAAGAAACAAUUAUGUAUUUUAAAACUAAAGAUAGAUGUUCUGCGUGAAUCAGAUGUGUUAGCUGAAUGUUAAUUUAUCUGAAGCCUCUAGUUUUUAUAAGUCUGCAUAGUCUCACCUCUCAACCCUUGGUUUCCAAAAAAAGAAGGCAAGUUUAGAACACAAAACCUUGAAGGGAUGAAUGCAACAAGAAUGCAAAACACACCCUCUUAAAAAAUUAAACCAUCCUCUUAUAUAUAAAUGCUGGUGCCACCCUGCGUACCUAUACUGUAUACCAUUGCUGUCCUAAGCGAAACAUCUGCAUGGACAAUGAAGCAAAAAAUGAAAGCAAUGCUAAUAUUAUAAAAAACUGAGCUUGAACAUGAGGCUGAAGCCCUAUGCAGAGUUAAGUAUGCUUAAAUCUAUGUAUUUUUCUUGGUCUCAUUUAGGUAUACCUACUUCUGCAUCGUACCGGGCAAGAGAAAAUCUCAGCAUUGAACUCACGGUGCAGUCUUGCAUGACUUAUUUUAUUAGUCUGUCU